CCUGGCCGGGGCGCUGGGUGGGCUGGGGCUGAGGCUGGAGCUAAUGGAGAUCCGGGGAGCCUGUGGGCUUGGGAAAAGGAGACUCUGAGAGUCCUGCUGCUCGGAGAAUCAUCAGAUGUCAGCACAGAGUGGCCGGACUGGACCAGACCCCAACACCCCAUGUUAGCAGAAAGGAAACCGGUGGGAAGCCUUUCCCAAGGCCAGACAUCGACUCCUGGCAGAGCUGGGAUUUCCUGACAAUGCAAACAAACCACCCUCUGUGUGGCUCAGGCUUGUUUUAAACAUCACGGAGCCCUGAGCAGAAGGGAAGGCCCAGGGCCAUGCUGGGAAGCCGGCGAGAAGCUCUGAGGGCAGCCACAAGAGGUCUGAAGCUUGCUACGACAAGUAAAGAUCAAAUCAGAAGCUGAACGCCCUGAGGCUUUGAAAGAUAGAGAGUGAUUUGUGGCCCCUCCAGUGAAAAGGCUGCUGCCAUUGUUAACAACCUCUGUUCCCGCUUUCUCCGCCAUGCUGGGCGCCGGAGCGCACUGUGUUCCAAGAAGUGAUGCCCGACCAUCUCCAGAGCAGCGUGGACUCCAGGGCGGGCAAUGGGCCUCUGCCACCUCACCUGCAGAGCCGACGGGAGGAAACGGCUCCGAGGCCCAGGGCAGGUAGACUCGGGCAGCCUGGGCCUGGGGUCUGGAAGACUCGGCCUCCAGGACGUGAUUUGUUGCUCUGGCCGCGGCUUCCGGCUGCUCCCGGUGCCCCCAGUUUGGCCUCACCCUCUGCUCCUGGGCCCCAGGCCCUCCCACUCUCACUGGCCCGUCCUCGGAGGGGCCAGAAGGGCCUGCCGCCCUCUCGGCCAGGGAUGGCUGAGCGCAGGCCUUCGUAGCCCUCUGGCAGGCCUGCACAUUGAAUGCACUCACAUCCCAAAGAGAAUCGAAUUUCUUUACCAUUCCUUGUAAUUUCCUGGUAAUCACAUCACACGGGGGAACUUCCAGGAAGUGGACGACUAAGAUAAACAUGGUUUCCAAAUGUUGUAAACACAAUGUUGUAAAAGAUGCAACGAUGAUAGGGAUGUAACAGCGUGUUCUGCCCUGCGCACAGUCACUUGACGGACAGACACCCGGCAGUGACCCGGACACACAGUGGUCACGGACAAAUCUCACAGACACGAGCUCAGGAAGCCAGACACAAAACAGACGCACUGACUCCACUGAUAGGAAGCGCAAACCAGGCGGAAUCACCCUGUGGUGUCAGAGGUCAGGAUAGGGUUCCCCUGGGGAGUGGGGUGGUUACGGGCAGGUCUUCGGGGAGCUCUGGGGGCUGGCAACACUCCGUUCUUGAUCCGGGUCCUGGUGGCGCGACGCGUUCAGUUCGCGAAGACUCGUAGAGCUGCGCGCAUUUAAGCGGUGCCGUGUGCUUUCUACGCUCCGUUUUAGUGAAAGCCGAACCGUGAAACCUUCACUGGUUUUGAAUUCGUAAUCUGAUCUCACGUUUUGGAGCCAAUCCAUGUGUUCAGGUCUCAUUCAUCUUCGGAGGGCCCAGACCUGGUGUAUUAACAAUCUGGGCCACAGACGGCCACGUCCCUCCCCCUGGGCUGAGGCCUCCCGUCCUGCCUGCUCCCCGAGCAUCACCCAGCGGAGGGAGGGCCCAGGAGGUCAGGGCGGUGGGCUCUACAGAGAGACGCCAGUCACCACCUCCCAGGCUGGGGAGAGCUCAG